AUGCCAUCUCAGAUGGAGCACACCAUGGAAACCAUGAUGUUCACAUUUCACAAAUUUGCCAGGGAUAAAGACUACUUAACAAAGGAGGACCUCAGAGUGCUCAUGGAGAAGGAGUUCCUGGGAUUUUUGGAAAAUCAAAAAGACCCUCUGUCCUUAGACAAAAUAAUGAAGGACCUGGACCAGUGCUGAGAUGGCAAAGUGGGCUUCCAGAGCUUCUUUUCCCUAAUUGCGGGCCUCACCAUUGCAUGCAACAACUAUUUUGUAGUACACAUGAAGCAGAAGGGAAAGAAGUAGGCAGAACUGAGCAAUUAUUCUGCCCUGAAAAGUGUUCUCUCAAAGGAUUGCUUCAAACAUCUGCCGCACAGCUUCUCCCUAUAUAAGGAUUUCAUGAGCAGAUCAGGAUCCUUAGAAUAUAUACAAAUAAAAUCCAACUCCCAUUUGUCAAGCAGAGAAGAAAAAGUUAAUUAAAUGCCAGAUGAGCUUUUGUUUUUUACAUUGUUUGCAUCCACUUGCCCUCAAUAAACAUAAUCCUUUUUUUAGUUCCAAA